GAUGAACGCUGGCGGCGUGCUUAACACAUGCAAGUCGAACGAAGCAGAUGAGAAAGCUUGCUUUUUUAUUUCGCUUAGUGGCGGACGGGUGAGUAACGCGUGAGUAACCUGCCCUUCAGUGGGGAAUAACAUCGAGAAAUCGGUGCUAAUACCGCAUAACGUAUUUAUGUCGCAUGACAUUUAUACCAAAGGAUUUAUUCGCUGAAGGAUGGACUCGCGUCCGAUUAGAUAGUUGGUGAGAUAAUGGCCCACCAAGUCAACGAUCGGUAGCCGAACUGAGAGGUUGAUCGGCCACAUUGGGACUGAGACACGGCCCAGACUCCUACGGGAGGCAGCAGUGGGGAAUAUUGGGCAAUGGGCGAAAGCCUGACCCAGCAACGCCGCGUGAAGGAUGAAGGUCUUCGGAUUGUAAACUUCUUUGAUUAGGGAAGAAUUUUGACCUACCUAAAGAACAAGUCACGGCUAACUACGUGCCAGCAGCCGCGGUAAGAGUCACG
rnacentral:rRNA from 1 species